rnacentral:rRNA from 1 species
GUUAUAAAUAUAGCUUAAUGUAAAUAAAUAUACCUAAUUAGUAUUUUCCUAAUAAACCAUUCUUUUAUCUUAGUAUUGGUGAUAAAAAUGAUUAUUAACGCAAUAGACAUAGUACUGCAAAGGAAAAAUGAAAUAGAAAUUAAAUAAAUCAUAAAAACAUUAAAAAGCAUUGAUUAAUUCUUCUACCUUUUGCAUCAUGGUCUAACAAGUCUAACCUGGCAAAAAGAAUUUUAGUCAGAUAUCCCGAAACUAGACGAGCUACUCCAAAGCAGCAAUAUAGAGCCAACCCUUCUCUGUGGCAAAAGAGUGGGAAGACUUUCGAGUAGAGGUGAUAAGCCUAUCGAGCCUGG